AGUCGGUCGAAGACUCGCUUGCUGCCUCCGUUCAAAUCGAAAUCCAUAGGCCUUUUGUAUCUGCCUAGCUCGCUCUUUUUCUAUAGAUUAUCGUUUAAUGUUUUUACCGUAACGAAACGGAGUUUGAUCAGUAGAAUUCGAUCAUGAAUUCGAGGAAACCGUAGAAAAAAUUACCAAACAAAAGUAGGUUUUUGUGUUAAAAAAAAAAAAGCUUCGGAUCUUCUUG
rnacentral:lncRNA from 1 species